CAUUUCAAGAAAGUUUACUACGUAUGAAAAACUAUCCAUCACAUCCAGUUUCCUUCAAGGAGGAGAAAAAUUGGUCGUCAAACAGACCAAAUCAAACACAGCUCGAUGAAUUUGAAGAGUAUGUGAGUGAACACAAGGGACUUCUGAUGGAUGACUAAGUCUCACGAGUUACAUAAAUUAGUCAUGAACUCCAACAAGCCUGGGAUUUCAGAUCAAUGAGUCAAAGC